UUGCAACCUGGCGGCGUGCUUAGGCAUGCAGUCGAACGUCCCUGACUUCGGUCAGGGGAGUGGCGGACGGGUGCGUAACACGUGGGUGAUCUGCCCACCGGACCGGGACACCCUCUCGAAAGGGAGGUCAAUACCGGGUACGCCGCAUUUCUUGCGGGAGGUGCGGGAAAGGGGAAACCCACCGGUGGAGGAGCCCGCGGCCCAUUAGCUAGUUGGUGGGGUAACGGCCCACCAAGGCGACGAUGGGUAGCCGGCCUGAGAGGGCGAACGGCCACACUGGGACUGAGAUACGGCCCAGACUCCUACGGGAGGCAGCAGCCGGGAAUCUUCCACAAUGGGCGAAAGCCUGAUGGAGCAACGCCGCGUGUGCGAGGAAGGCCUUCGGGUUGUAAAGCACUGUCCCCGGGGACGAAACAAAUGACGGUACCCGAGGAGGAAGCCCCGGCUAACUACGUGCCAGCAGCCGCGGUAAU
rnacentral:rRNA from 1 species